UAAAAAAUUAAAUAUGAGAAAGUGUACGAAUAUCAUUCCAUUUAAGGAAAAAAAAUAGAAAUAAUGAAUUUGCCUACACCAUAGUGAUUUGGUUUGGCUUAGGUUUUGCUUUGUUAAUAGACAAAGAACCCUCCAUGUGCAACAAUGCUACUCUUAGGUUUGUGUGCUACUUCCAAUUGGUGUAAUGGUUGGGGUUUGCGCCAUGCUUCCAACUGAUGCACUUCCGGGGUUAGAGCAAUGGUUCCAGCUGAUGCAGCCUCCGGGGUUAGAGCCUCUGGAGUUUGAGCGAUGCUUCCAAACGGUGAAGCCACUAGAACUUCUGUGCUACUUGCAAUUGGUGCAACCGUUGGGGUUUGUGUGUUAUGUGAUCCAAAAGCACGAAAUGAAAAUUGAUGAUCGAGCUUUACGACACCGGUGACAUCGCCAUAAGUGGCACCCACUUUCACACAACAUUGCCAAGCAACCAC